UGGGGAAUAUUGCACAAUGGAGGGAACUCUGAUGCAGCGACGCCGCGUGAACGAAGAAGGCUUUCGAGUCGUAAAGUUCUUUUAUAUGGGAAGAUAAUGACGGUACCAUAAGAAAAAGCCCCGGCUAACUACGUGCCAGCAGCCGCGGUAAUACGUAGGGGGCUAGCGUUGUCCGGAAUCACUGGGCGUAAAGGGUUCGCAGGCGGAAAUGCAAGUCAGGUGUAAAAGGCAGUAGCUUAACUACUGUAAGCAUUUGAAACUGCAUAUCUUGAGAAGAGUAGAGGUAAGUGGAACGUGUGGUGUAGCGGUGAAAUGCGUAGAGAUUAGGAGGAACACCGGUGGCGAAAGCGGCUUUUUGGCCUGCAACUGACACUGAGGCGCGAAAGCGUGGGGAGCAAACAGG
rnacentral:rRNA from 1 species